rnacentral:rRNA from 1 species
CAGCACCUCAAGUGGUCAGGAUGAUUAUUGGGCCUAAAGCAUCCGUAGCCGGCGCUGUAAGUUUUCGGUUAAAUCUGUACGCUCAACGUACAGGCUGCCGGGAAUACUGCAGCGCUAGGGAGUGGGAGGGGUAGACGGUACUCGGUAGGAAGGGGUAAAAUCCUUUGAUCUAUUGAUGACCACCUGUGGCGAAGGCGGUCUACCAGAACACGUCCGACGGUGAGGGAUGAAAGCUGGGGGAGCAAACCGGAUUAGAGACCCGCGUAGUCC